UACGUAGGGGGCGAGCGUUGUCCGGAUUUAUUGGGCGUAAAGAGCGUGUAGGCGGCCAGGUAGGUCUGCUGUGAAAACUCGAGGCUCAACCUCGAGACGGCGGCGUAAACCAUCUGGCUAGAGUCCGGAAGAGGAGAGUGGAAUUCCUGGUGUAGCGGUGAAAUGCGCAGAUAUCAGGAAGAACACCCGUGGCGAAGGCGGCUCUCUGGGACGGUACUGACGCUGAGAAGCGAAAGCAUGGGGAGCGAACAGG
rnacentral:rRNA from 1 species